GGGAGAAGAGCCCACCAGAAGUCUAAUGUGGCUCUGUAACUCUACAGUGGUGGUGACCGGGGCUGCAGGGGGGGAAAAUAUUCCUUGAUGGGAAGAACUGUUAUAUUUGUAUCUACCUCUAAAAUUGUCCAGAUCCCAAUUUGUGGGGGGAAAAGGUCAUCCCCCCACCACCAAGCAAUUCUCUGAAUACCAGCUGGGUGUUCUACAAUUCACCACAAUUCUGACAUGAGCUACCUGGAGAAAGCGACAGAUCUCACAGCAGCUGCCCUACGAGACCAUGAACUCUAAAGAAAAAAAAAUUAAAAUGGAGUCAAACCACCUGGCCAAUGGGAAUCAUUGAAUAGAAAGAAUCUAUACUUCAAACACUGAAUAAUUGCAGACAUAGAGAAGGAGAGUUCUCAGCUACACGGAGGUCGGUUCUGUAAAGAAUAAAAAUAAAAAACGAACAGGUCUA